rnacentral:rRNA from 1 species
CCUACGGGUGGCAGCAGUGGGGGAUAUUGCACAAUGGGGGAAACCCUGAUGCAGCGACGCCGCGUGAGUGAAGAAGUAUUUCGGUAUGUAAAGCUCUAUCCGCAGGGAAGACCAUGACAGUACCUGACCAAGAAGCCCCGGCUAACUACGUGCCAGCCGCCGCGGUAAGACGUAGGGGGCCAGCGUUAUCCGGCUUUACUGGGUGUAAAGGGAGCGUAGGCGGUUAUGUAAGUAUGGAGUGAAAGCCCGGGGCCCAACCCCGGGACUGCGUUGGAAACUGUGUAACUGGAGUACAGGAGGGGCAGGCGGAAUUCCUGGGGUAGCGGUGAAAUGCGUAGAUAGCAGGAGGAACACCGGCGGCGAAGGCGGCCUGCUGGACUGAAACUGACGUUGAGGCUCGAAAGCGUGGGGAGCAAACAGGAUUAGAUACCCCUGUAGUC